UUCAAAACGGGUCUUUUUUUAAGUUUCGGAUCAUUUCUGACCAAGUUACACCUAAAAAUAUCAAGAAAAAUAUAGCGUUUUGGGUAAAAACUAAGGUUUUCAUUUUCAUCGCCAAAAAUUUUGGACAAAACAACAAAAGUAAUGGUCCAAAAGUAGAGUGCCAUACCUUGUCGAAUUCGUUUCGGACCAUUAUUAACCAAGUUACAUAAAAAAGGAAAAUGUUCAAAAAGGAUCUUUCAAAUCUUAUAGGCAUACAAUAUUAAAAUAUGGAACUCGGUAUUUGUAUUGUGCAAAAAAGGUUUUAAAGGACUGUUCCAGCUGGACGCGAUAGUUCCUUAGCUCCAGCUCCAAGUUCUCGAUGGUCCGCUUGGAGAAGUCCUGCAUGGCCUGCAGACUCUUCCGCUCCUUUAGGAGCUCCUCCACC